rnacentral:rRNA from 1 species
GAUGAACGCUAGCGGCAGGCUUAACACAUGCAAGUCGAGGGGUAUAGGUUUUCGGACCUAGAGACCGGCGCACGGGUGCGUAACGCGUAUGCAAUCUACCUUUCACAGAGGGAUAGCCCAGAGAAAUUUGGAUUAAUACCUCAUAGUAUAGCAGUUUCGCAUGAAACCACUAUUAAAGUUCCAACGGUGAAAGAUGAGCAUGCGUCCCAUUAGCUAGAUGGUAAGGUAACGGCUUACCAUGGCUACGAUGGGUAGGGGUCCUGAGAGGGAGAUCCCCCACACUGGUACUGAGACACGGACCAGACUCCUACGGGAGGCAGCAGUGAGGAAUAUUGGUCAAUGGACGCAAGUCUGAACCAGCCAUGCCGCGUGCAGGAUGACGGUCCUAUGGAUUGUAAACUGCUUUUGUACGAGAAGAAACAGCAUUACGUGUAAUGUCUUGACGGUAUCGUAAGAAUAAGGAUCGGCUAACUCCGUGCCAGUAGCCGCGGUAAAAC